rnacentral:rRNA from 1 species
UACGGGGGGGGCAAGCGUUGUUCGGAAUUACUGGGCGUAAAGGGCUCGUAGGCGGCCAACUAAGUCAGACGUGAAAUCCCUCGGCUUAACCGGGGAACUGCGUCUGAUACUGGAUGGCUGGAGUUUGGGAGAGGGAUGCGGAAUUCCAGGUGUAGCGGUGAAAUGCGUAGAUAUCAGGAGGAACACCGGUGGCGAAGGCGGAUCUCUGGGCCAGUAUUGACGCUGAGGAGCGAAAGCGUGGGUAGCAAACAGG